ACUCCUACGGGAGGCAGCAGUGAGGAUAUUGUCAUGGGCGGAAGCCUGAACCAGCCAUGCCGCGUGAAGGACUAAGGCCCUAUGGGUCGUAAACUUCUUUAGACGCAGAGCAAUAAGGGUCUCGAGAGAUCCGAUGAGAGUAUGCGUAGAAUAAGCAUCGGCUAACUCCGUGCCAGCAGCCGCGGUAAU
rnacentral:rRNA from 1 species